rnacentral:pre_miRNA from 7 species
UCCUAUUCAACUGAAAGAUUCUCGAAUUCCCGGCCAAUGCACCAAAUGAAAGACCCCCAAAGGGAGACCCUUACUCAGACACUCAAGUCCCGGGACAGCCGCGUACCCAAGAAGACACUGAGACCA